rnacentral:rRNA from 1 species
CUCCUACGGGGCGCAGCAGUGGGGAAUAUUGGACAAUGGGGGAAACCCUGAUCCAGCGACGCCGCGUGAGUGAAGAAGUAUUUCGGUACGUAAAGCUCUAUCAGCAGGAAAGAAAAUGACGGUACCUGACUAAGAAGCCCCGGCUAACUACGUGCCAGCAGCCGCGGUAAUACGUAGGGGGCAAGCGUUAUCCGGAUUUACUGGGUGUAAAGGGAGCGUAGGUGGCAGGGCAAGUCAGAUGUGAAAACCCGGGGCUCAACUCCGGGAGUGCAUUUGAACCUGUCCAGCUAGAGUGCAGGAGAGGU